rnacentral:rRNA from 1 species
UUGACAUACUAAGAACUUUCCAGAGAUGGAUUGGUGCCUUCGGGAACUUAGAUACAGGUGCUGCAUGGCUGUCGUCAGCUCGUGUCGUGAGAUGUUGGGUUAAGUCCCGCAACGAGCGCAACCCUUUUCCUUAUUUGCCAGCAGGUCAUGCCGGGAACUUUAAGGAUACUGCCAGUGACAAACUGGAGGAAGGCGGGGACGACGUCAAGUCAUCAUGGCCCUUACGGCCAGGGCUACACACGUGCUACAAUGGUCGGUACAAAGGGUUGCUACCUCGCGAGAGGAUGCUAAUCUCAAAAAGCCGAUCGUAGUCCGGAUCGCAGUCUGCAACUCGACUGCGUGAAGUCGGAAUCGCUAGUAAUCGCGGAUCAGAAUGCCGCGGUGAAUACGUUCCCGGGCCUUGUACACACCGCCCGUCACACCAUGGGAGUUUGUUGCACCAGAAGUAGGUAGUCUAACCGCAAGGAGGACGCUUACCACGGUGUGGCCGAUGACUGGGGUGAAGUCGUAACAAGGUAGGCGUAGAUGA